AGAAGAUAUGAUGGAAUUUAUAUCUAUGUAUGUCAGUAUUUAUUUAUUUAAAGGAUAUUGUAAAUAUUGCACACAUUCGCGACCAGUGGGUGGCGGUAAUGCGCCAAUUCGUUGUCUCCCAAUAAGCCUCAAAAGAAGAAGAAGAGGCGGAAGCACGAGAAUAAACAAAUGUCAGAUGGGACAAAACUAAUAGCGGAAAAAACUGGACGUCGCGUUGGAAACUGUAAAUCCGCGGGGGCGUGUUUUGAAGGAACACCAGAGACAUGGACCACCGGGAACCCAGCAAAGAAGGAUGUGGUGGCAGCAGUGAAGCAGCAUAAGCUAAGUGAGGAGCACCAUGAAUGGCUCUGAAAAGACUGAGAGCAAAGCUCCCUGAGGCGAUGACACAGGUGGUGUCUAUAAAGUGUCCUUACUGGCCAAAUCCCAACAAUUCUCAACAAUCAUAUGCAAAAAUAAUCCUAAGGCACUGUUUACAUAUAAAUGCUCAACAGUGACCUCCUGUCUGCUGAGAAGACGUUUCCUUGCGGGGGAGCCACAGGUAAUAACCAGUGAAAGUUAAAUGUCUGGCUAUAAUGCAAAUACCAAGUAGAACAAAUGUAUGUGUGUCAGCAGGAUGCCACCCACUGCUCCCGCUCAAACAUGUUUGACUUGUGUAGGCAGAUGUGUAUCAGAAUCAGAUUUGCCAAGUAUGUGUGCACUUGUAUCCUUGUCCUCACUUGUAUCCUUGUAAAGUAUAAGGAAUAUGACUCAGGGAUUUUGUUGCUCCUAAUUGUUACAUACAGUUCAAAGAGAAACUUUGAGGGAAAUGUAGAUAGAAAUAUACAUGCAGUUUUGGACACAAUAUGCCAAUGAAAGUCAAAGUCUUGAAUCUAAUUUAAUUUUUAAAUGAUGUGUUGAGGAUAUAUGUUCAAGAAAACCUUGAAAAGUUGCUCUCAAAACUCAAAGUACCUGUCUUAGCUGAACUAAUUGUAUGAAUGUUUUGUGCAUGUGAUGCCAAAAGGGGACAAAAAAGUGGUUGAAAGAGGAAGCUUGGAAGAGGCAAAAAGUUUCAGUCAUCUUAUCAAUCUUAUCUUUUUUUAUUUUUUUUUUCACUAUAUUCGUAUUUAAUAUCUGUUUCAUGUUUGAGUUUUUUGUUGAAGGUUCAGGAAGUUACUAAACUAUCUACUUUAUGGUCUUGAUUUUUUUUUAUAAAUAAAUACAAUUAAUAGAUGUCACUUGCUGAGAAGUGAAACAUUUGCUCUAAUAAAACUCUGUAAAACCUG